rnacentral:rRNA from 1 species
AUUGAACGCUGGCGGCAGGCCUAACACAUGCAAGUCGAACGAGUGGCGGACGGGUGGAUAAUGUCUGGGAAACUGACCGAUGGAGGGGGAUAACUACUGGAAACGAUAGCUAAUACCGCAUCCCAUCGGAUGUGCCCAUAUGGGUGUGGCUAUUAGGUGGGGUAACGGCUCCCCUAGGCGACGAUCCCUAGCUGGUCUGAGAGGAUGACCAGCCACACUGGAACUGAGACACGGUCCAGACUCCUACGGGAGGCAGCAGUGGGGAAUAUUGCACAAUGGGCGAAAGCCUGAUGCAGCCAUGCCGCGUGUAUGAAGAAGGCCUUCGGGUUGUAAAGUACUUUCAGCGAGGAGGCGUUACUCGCAGAAGAAGCACCGGCUAACUCCGUGCCAGCAGCCGCGGUAAUUC